AUUGUGUACAUAAAGCAAUUGCAUUCAUGUUAUUUUUCAGCAAAAGUACUAACGCGGGGAUUAUUAAUAUCCGCAAGGGACGUGACCGAAGGCUCCCUCCCCUUCUCGCUCCCGAUUGGCUGUCCCCGCCUUGAUGGACACCUCGGCCCCUCCCACUUUCCCCACUUGUUUACCGGCGGAACGUGCCUGCCUCUGCGCCUGCGCCCUACUGCGCGACCUGUCAAAGACGCCCCCGGGGCGGAGCCAUUCUCGAAACGCCACUCCGCCCCGUGCGCAGCAAGCGAGUCCUCAGCCGUUCCGGCACUACGCAAACAGCGCAGGCCGGCUUGCGCAGGAAGGAGCCGACUGGCGCUGUGCGGGUCCGUCAAGGCAGGUAAGUCGUCCUGAUUCGGGUGCCGGCGGGGCGACAGAGGCGUCGGUUUCGAAACGGUGAAGACGAGGCACGGAAGGUCCCCCGCUCCCCGCCUCUGCUGGUUCAAGGGGAGAUACGUCGGCGACACCGGGGAGCUUGAGAGUCGAAGUCCGAGGAGGCGUGUGUCUCGCUGCCGAGAGGAGGUGGAGACGGUGGAGACGGGUGUUGUUGUCGCUGGACAGGGCUGAAGGCGGCUCUGGACCCCGCCGAGACCUCAGCAGGGUCUCGGUGCCGACCGGACCGGCCGCUCCGCCGCCUCGCUUACAGGGAGAUGUGACGGACAGCAGCCGGACCGGACCUGGGGUCCGCUCGCCGAGUGCCUCCAGGAUUUGAGGAGCACGAUCAGAAACCCCCCCUGGCUGCCGCCCCUAUUAUGGAUCUGGCUGCCUGUGCUGAGAAGCAGGAAUGCUGGCGAACAACAACAACAGCAUCUGAGCCGGUCGGACCAGAAAGCCGCCUCUAAUAAGGGAGAGGGAGGGAGCGAGGCCCCCGGCGCCAGCCGAGCGGGACGGAGAGCCGGGUUCGGACCCGCGCCGCCGCCGUCAUGGACCCCCGGGCCGCCCCGGAGAAC